CAUGAAACAGUUGGUUACCUAAUAAUGUUUAAACUGGAAGAGUUAUACCACAAGUAAAGGUACACGUCUUUAUCUAACAUAGUACGAAACAAUAUCUAAGACAUCCAGACGAGACAUGGUUCUUGGACGUCUAAAGUUAUAACGAUACACGUAUAUUCGAAGUAAUUAAACAACCCGUAAUUGGAGUCAGUGUAUAAUUUGUACCUACCAUCACUAAAGAAAAAUUUCGUAAAUAGUAAAGCUUUAAUGCAGGAAGUAUCGAACUAAUUUCCAGAUCUAUUCAUUCCAAAUAGAGAUGUGAUAGAAGACGGACAAUAUAAAAGGGAUAUUUGGAGUGGGAUGGGCGAUAAGACCCCGUAGGCGCCGCGAACGUACUAAAGCGAACUUGCUAAGUGCCUCGGACGUGAACCCACACUACGUGCCCUCCGACGCGAAGCGGAGAAGGAGCGAGUCGUUGUCCUCGUAAACGUCACCCCACCACGCCGGGUCCCUGUCUUCAACGAUUUCUUUCGAGGCUGUAAUAUUAGAAUCUACUACUGGAGUGUAGAUAACACUUCCCAGUAACCUUACCUGGUUCAAUACUUACAAGCACUUUACGCUAUGAUCUUAGAAACUUCGCCCACGAUAGUUCUAGUACGGUUUCCGUCUCGCACGGUUUCCGCUGCGAGUAAGGGCAAGAAUCACUCUACGCAAAUGAGCUACGUUUCAUACUCGUAACGUCUGAGACCGCUCGACAACUUCCAGCUGCUCCUCCCGCGGCGGUGGUGGCAGUAGUCCGAUCAGGUGUAGGUGCGCGACGAACCGCAGUGAUCCAGUGGCCGUGUUGAGGAGUGCGGGUCCAGCAAGUUGUAAAAGAAAGCGAAAACCACGCAGUGUAGAUCUCAGAAAGAAAGGGUAAAAUGGCACAAACGUACCAUUCUACAAACCAACCUAAACUUCCAAGCAUCUGAACCUAGGUUUCGAAGUUCGAGAACAUCUUUAAUCUUGACUCCCGGAAAAUUUUACUCAGGACGUAUUAUUACAACAAGUCACCCUACGUAUUAAAAACAAACAUAACUACAUGACUAAAGUAGUAGUAUACUGAUGUUACUUCUUCGACACACAUAUUUAUAAUGAUUGACUACUAUGAAACGUAGUCACUAAAGUUAAGACAACCGCGAGGAAGUGUAACGAACACUUACACUCCGAAUUUUCAAAGUUGGGA
rnacentral:rRNA from 1 species